ensembl:lncRNA
CCUCACGAGCCAUCGUGCAAAUGCCUCUCUGCACCAGGGCUGGCUUCCUGGACUUUUUGAGCAUGGGGCCUGCAUUUUAUCUUGGCACUGGGCCCUACAAAUUGCCUAUCUGUUCCUCUGCAGCCUAGUUCUGAAGUAUCCUAUUGUGCCUGAAAUGGGCGGCAGGCUUGGUCAGCUGUGGAAAGAGAAAGUUUCCAUGGAGAACUGUGUGAUGUGCCUGGAAGGAAUCAUUGUAGCACGAAGAAAGAUACUGAGAAAUUCUGCACCAGGGAGAUAGUUCAGUAAAAAGAGAGGUUCACAAACAACUCCCAGGGGUCAUCCUGUUGUGUCUAGAAGAAAGAGACAAGAAAAACCGUUUCUUCCAGAUUCUUCCUUUUCAACUGAAGCCACGAGGCCCCUGGCACACACUCAGCCGAUGUUUUUUAUGUCUCCUGCUGUUUACUCUGAAUCCAUCUCGAGCUGUUGCAGAGAGGCACUACAUCAACACAAUUUAUUUCAUUACGAUGCCAUGUCAUAUCGUAUAUCUCCUGUUCACAGUAGGUUGACAAGGCAUUGCAUUUGUGUACGAGUAUAUAUGGAUACAUAUUACCACAAUCACGGGGGAAUAGUAUUUAUUGAGUGCCCACUACCUUAUUAGACGCUACAGAGAGAAUUGUGAGGGCACAUAUAACAAUUUAAUAACGGGGGGAAAAAGAUACUCUUUCUAUUUAAUUCGGCUUGCAGAAAAACAAAACAAAACCAAAAAAAGACUACUUGAUAUUUCCUCUCUGUGCCUGCUGGAUGGUGGCAAGAAAGACC